GGGAAAUUUAAAUUUAGACAUUUUUCAUAACAUAUAUGUCAAUUUACCAAAUACCUUUAUCUUUUUUAACCAAAUAAUUUGUUUUAAAUCUAGAUCACUGUAUACUUGGUAUAACAAAGACCUUUUUUCAUUAAAUAAAACUUUCAAAUAUUUAACUAAGGCCUGAAAAACAUUCAAAACAACAUCAAAAAGUUCUUGAAAAUGACAUUAGUCUUUCAAAAAAUCUGAAACCUGUCUUAUGAUCUUUUCUGAUUUUGUGACUCGUACCCCUGAACCACUCUUUUCUGUGAAAAGAUCUUUUAUACCUUUACUACCAUUCCUAGAAAAGGCCAACUUCAAGUGCUCUAAGCACAGUCCACUACCGGCAAUAACUCGUGCCAUUCCUAAGGAAAGUAUCUUACGAUCAAUCAACAACUUCAAAGAAGGCAAAUUUUUAUGCAAUUCUUUCAUAGAUUUGAAUUUGUCUGAUAUGACACAUUCUGGUAUAUAUACUUUUUCAAAGUG
rnacentral:lncRNA from 1 species